GGUAAGGUGGCUGAGUUGCAGGCGAUAGAUUGUAAGUCUAUUAACAGGAUUUAAUUCUUUCUUAUCAGGCUUGAUAGUUUAGUUUAGAAUAUCAUAUUGCAAA
rnacentral:tRNA from 1 species